rnacentral:lncRNA from 1 species
ACCAAUAAGCUUAUAGAAUAUUUGGAUAACACGAAACAAAAAUAGUUACAACAUGACUCGAGAUAACAUUCAUGUUAAACACACAACUCAGCAAGCAGCUGAAUUCUCAUACUUGGGUGCUUCUUCUCACAAAAGAAAAAAUAAAGCUAUCAAAAAUGUAAAAUGGAAUCCUCCAAAGAGUUUACAAGCUAAAUACAAAUGGAGCAUAUUCAGCUACAACUGCUGGGAUUGGAGGGCUAAUUAGAAAUUCCACCGCUGAAUGGAAAUUGGGCUUCUCAGGAACUGCCUCAGGGGACACAUCCAUUUCUGCAGAAUUUUAUGCAUUGACUCAUGGACUAAAAUUGGCAUAUGAAAACAACAUAAAGCCACUAGAAGUGGAGGUGGAUGCAACAGAAGUUAUCACACUAUUACAAUCUAAUAAUAUUCCAUUCUCUAACAUGAUAAAUGAUUGCAGGUACUUCCUGGACCAGCUAGGUAAUCCUGUAAUGCAAUAUGCAUACAGAGAAAAAAACAGGGUAGCAGAUAAACUAGCAAAGACAGGCCACAAUUUUAGAAACAAUUAUAUCCCAAGUGUUUUUGAAGAUAUUCCAACUUUUGUUGCACAAAUUUUUGAAAAAGACAGGGAAUGUUUGGCAGCUCCUCCAACAUGCCAAGGGAAUGCUUGGCAAAAAUCGAAGUGGCAAUCUUGAUCAGCCACCUCCGAAUAUGAUCAGUUGUUGUGAUCAUGAUAGUUCCACUAGGAAUGCCAUGACAAACAUAAAUAUUAGUAGUAAUAUCUAGUACCUUGUAAUGGUACGAUAUUUUGUAACAGGGAGCAAGCGAUGCACCAACCCUCUGUACGCAUUACUUAGUUAAUAUAUAUAUUAUCUUUCAAACUUAAAAAAAUAGAAAAACUCCUAGAAAUCAAACCUGUUGUGGCUAUGCUGUCUAUCUGAUGUAGCAAGCGAAAACAAAUAAAUAACAUAGCAAGCAAGGUUCGAUCCCACGCCCUGAAAGGCAAACACUAUGUGCCUCUACCACUAACACAUUGGUACCUUCUGUUAUUUUGAGUAACGACUAUUUUAUUUAUCAUCUUUCUUGAAUAUACUAUAGAUAUAUAUUUGUAAUUUCUAUCGAAGCUUGCGGGAGGCAUAACACCC